AUCACCACCAAAAUUAAAUACCAUUCACUUUACCAAAUGAAACAAAACAAAAUAAUAAGUAUUCUUAAUAAAAAAAAAAAAAACCGGGUCGGGCCUAACCCGGCUCGAUUAUCUCGGGCCGGGCUUGACCCGCUAGGCCAAAAGAAAAAGUCGGGCCGGGCCGGGCCGGGCCGGGUUUGUGGCGACUGAUAUUCCUACUCUUGACUAGCGAGUGAUGAGUCAGCCAGGUAAUGUUGACCGAAUCCAUGAAAGAACAUCAUCUACAACACAUCUAGUUUCUCGUUAAAACAAACAACUAAACUAAAGUCCAUCACUUUUAACUCUCAACUUUAUUUGCGAUGGCUAAAACUCACACCUCUCUUCUCUCCCUCUCUAUCCUACUUAUUAUUCUUUUUACCUUCUUAUUGACCCAGACCCAGACCCAACAACAACAUUCCCAUGUAGAAGAAGAAGAAGAAGAAGACGACCCCAUUUCCCGCUUCCGAAACUACCUGCGAAUCAACACAGCCCAUCCAUCCCCAGAUUACUCCUCCGCCGUUUCCUACCUCCUUUCCCAGGCCAAUUCCCUCGGCCUGCAAUCCCGGACCUUCCACUUCUCCCUCAACAAUCCUAUCCUCCUCCUCACAUGGCUCGGCUCCGACCCUUCUCUUCCUUCCAUCCUCUUCAACUCUCACCUCGACUCCGUCCCCGCCGAGCCCUCCAAGUGGACCCACCCACCAUUCUCCGCUGUCAAGACCCAGGACGGAAGAAUCUUCGCCCGUGGAGCCCAGGACGAUAAGUGCAUCGGGAUGCAGUACCUCGAGGCCAUUCGCAAUCUAAAGGCCAAGAAUUUCCAACCCACUCGAACCCUACACUUGUCGUACGUCCCCAACGAGGAGGUCGGAGGGUUUGAGGGAAUGGCCAAGUUCGCUGUCUCGCAGGAAUUCAAGGAUUUGAAUUUGGGUUUUGCCAUGGACGAAGGCCAGGCCAAUCCGGGUGAGGAGUUUAGGGUUUUCUACGCGGAUAGGUCGCCAUGGGAGUUGGUGAUCAAGGCUAAGGGAACGCCAGGGCACGGGUCGAGGAUGUACGACAACAGCGCCAUGGAAAAUUUGAUGAAGAGCGUGGAUAUUAUAAGCCGGUUCAGGGAGAGCCAGUUCGAUGUGGUCAAAUCCGGUCGAGCUGCCAACUCGGAAGUUAUUUCGGUUAAUCCUGUUUAUUUGAAAUCUGGGAUUCCUUCUCCGACUGGAUUUGUGAUGAAUAUGCAACCUUCGGAGGCAGAAGCUGGGUUUGACCUCAGAUUGCCUCCAACGGCAGAUCCAGAUCUUUUAAAGAAAAGAAUUGCGGAGGAAUGGGCGCCAGCUGUGAGGAACAUGACCUACAAGAUUCUUGAGAAAGGGCCUCUUAGAGACUACCUCGGUCACCCAUUAUUGACAUUGACUAAUGAUUCCAAUCCAUGGUGGUCUGUUUUUGAAGAAUCUAUUGCAGCAGUUGGAGGGAAACUUUCAAAGCCUGAAAUAUUGGCUUCAACUACAGAUGCCCGAUACCUUAGACAGUUGGGAAUUCCAGUUGUUGGAUUCUCACCAAUGAUGAAUACUCCCAUCUUGCUACAUGAUCAUAAUGAGUUCUUGAAAGAUACCGUCUAUCUGAAUGGUAUAAAGGUAUAUGAAUCGAUAUUUAGCACCUUGAGUUCUUUCCUGAAAGCAUCUCAAUAAGUAAUCUUGUUAUUCAUUUGUGAGACGCUAUGAACAACACACGUCAGUACAGGUAAUUGUGAAUUUGGUGUUCGAUUAUCAGGUCCUUAUGAAUUACUUCCUUUGUAUCCACGUGGAGUAGAGUUUUAUUCUGGCGCAAAAUUGUUACGACUCACCAAGAUGCUAUUAAGAGGAGCUAAAGAGGUAGUUUUUGUGCGAGGAAAACGAGUAAACACAACUUGUAAAGAGGAGAUAUUAGAACCAGAGAAAAUUUGUGACUUUGCAAAGUUAAAUUCAGAUGAGAGUCCUGCAAGAAAACUCACAAUAGCUAUCUGUUCUCGUUGGCGCUGUUGAAACCUCACAUUAGGACUAAAUGGCAAUGUUAUAUUCGAAAAAGGGCUACACUUUAAAAGUCGACACGUGUCCAUUAGAAUGAAUAUGAAUCAAUUAUAAGUGAUAUAUUUAAUAUUAUUUAUAUAAAUGCAUAUUAAACAACUCGUUAUUAUUAAAUAAAAGUUAAAUAAAUAGUAUUCAAAACUCGUUGGCUUAUAGUCAAAAGUGAGACAAGAAUAACAACUAUUGAUUUGAGAUUAACGAGAUAUAUGCAUGUCUCGGACUAUAUAAACAAGAAGGGGAUAUUCAUCCACCCGAGCAAGAUGAAUGUAUCAACAUGAACUGCCUCGUAUUGCAUAGCGAGAAGGUCACUCGUAUUAUGAAAACCAUAAAGAGAAUAUAUCGAGAUGGAAAUCUUCCCAACACUUAGUGUUUUUUCUUUUCAAGAUUAAUAAGAAAGAUAACUCGAAUCUGAGAUGAUAUAAACUUCUACGUCAGUAAUAACCAUCUAAAGGAGAAAACUAAAGAACGGUUGGGUAGUUAUUUAAUAUUAUCCCACAUGUAAUUUAAAUGAAACAUGAGAAUUGCCUACGUUUCAUGAACAAUUGUACUUGAAUUAAU